rnacentral:lncRNA from 1 species
ACCAAUGACCACUCAUGGGACACCUCCUUGAUCUUCUUCUUCUUCUUCUCUUCCUUCUCUUUCUCUUCAUCAACAUCCUCAACUUUACCCUCCUCAUCCUUCUUUUCUUCCUCGUCCUCAUCAUCAGAAAUCUCCUUCUCAGUGGUCUUCUCAAUCCAGAGGGAAAUUGGGUAACUAAUGAACUCAGAGUGCUUCUUAAUCAAAUCCUUCAAACGGCGCUCCUCAAGGUACUCAAGUUGGUCUUCCUUGAGGUGGAGAGUGAUCUUUGUACCGCGGCCAAGAAGCUCACCAGAAGUGUCCCUGGUAACAGUGAAUGAUCCACCGGCCUGAGACUCCCAGAUGUACUGCUCAUCAUCGUUGUGCUUGGCGGUAACAAUAACCUUCUCAGCA